rnacentral:lncRNA from 1 species
AACGUACAACCUCACUCGCGGAACUCUCCACGCGCCUCUCCAAAACCUUCCUUAAUGGAAGAACUUUCACUCUCAAGUAUCAACUCCCAAACGAAGACCUGGAUUCGUUAAUUUCAGUUACAACCGAUGAAGACCUAGAAAACAUGAUCGACGAAUACGAUCGAACAAACGCUGCUAAUCCAUCACUCAAACCCUCACGAAUUCGUCUUUUUCUAUUUCCAACGAAACCUGAAUCUGCUCACUCAAUUCC